GAACCCCCUCACACAGGGAACUGGACUUUGACCUCCUGAGGUCUCUUCCAGUUCUAUGAUUCUAUGUAGCCCAACUUCUCACUUGAGAUGGUCUUGAUCUUGAGAAGUUGAAUGGCCAGGAUUCCUUGAAACUUGAGCUUUUUUUAAGGUGGUAUAAAUUAAGCAUCUUAAAAUCAUAAAUUGCUUUGAAAAGCUUGACUUGUCCAGAGGAAAUUACUGUCUUGCUGAUAAAGUAAAAUACUUUGCACAUAGUGCCUUUGUCUAGGUAUAGCAUCCAGCUUUUACAAAUAUAUUUGUCUUGUAACUUUUCUGGUACAGAAACUUUACAACCAUAUUUUAGAUGAGGGGGAAAAUGAGGCAUACAGCACCUGAGUAACAUGAUCAGACUCAUUUUGCGCAGCAGUGCUGUAAUGAGAAUCCCAGUCUCAUUGGCUUGGUUCCUUCUAGCCAGUCCAAUUAACUUCCCCCUAAACAGGAGUGGUUGCUGCUCUGAAAGAUGAGAUACUUCCUGCUCUCGACCCUCAUGAACACAUUGCUGUAACAUUCACUUCAUGCUGCCUGGAGUAAAAGUAGAAGUGGCUGUCUAACACUCACACCCCUCUCCAUCUGCUUCUAGGGGCCACAGAGCAAUGAAGAUCCAGACUAACAUGGCUACUCCUCUGAUGUUUGCGAGGAUGCUCAGCAAGUCUACAUGGAAGAGAUGCAGGGUGUUGAAGCAAUGGAAGGAACACAGAGACUAUCUGAAGAUCUGGAGAACUGGCAGAAAUGUAGCACACAGAAGACUGAAACCUGAGCAAGUGAGAGAAAUGGGAAUUUUGGUCAGAAUGGCAAAAACAUUGAAAUAGAGAUUGACAAAUCCCAAAAGCAAUAAAAUGUUUCUUUUUUUUUUUAAAAAAAAUGGACAUAUGAAUGAAGUGCUUUCUUUAUGAAAUACUCAUUCCCGCAAACUGAGGGAGGAAGGGCUAAAACUACUCUCAUUCUGUGUUCUAGAAUGAGUCCUCCAACAAAACUAGGACAAGACGAGAUUUCGUACUGUAAACAAAGCAGCAGACGUUUUAUAUAAUCUUUCAUGUGCUUUUAAGCAUGCAGAAGGAAAAAUGGGUAUAACUCUUCCCCCGAUGCCAAUUUUGGAGAUAACUUUAAAUACUACAUUUGUACAUCUGGAAUACUUAACUUGUCAGCAUAUACUUAGAAUCCAGUAUCUCCAGCCAAAUUCAUUAUAGUUCUCAAUUUCCCAUACAAUUUUUUUAAAUGAAUGGGGACCAGCAAAAAGAACAAUCCCAUCACUACUUUGGCUGUUACACAGCCUUAACCUUUUCAUAUUUCUUUGCAGACAAAUAAGCUAAUGCAUGCUGUAUUUCAGUGUAAGUUAUUUUUGUAUCAACUGUGAAAAAAAUAAAAUUAAAACGUAUUUUCUUCUAGUCAGGGAACAAAACAAAGGAAUAGUGGCCUGAAUCUUUGUGCAUGUUUAGAGUUGGUAUGAACUACAGAACGAACAAUUGUACUUUGUUGGAAGUUUAAUCUAGUCUUCAAAUUUGUAGUCCCCCCCCAUCCUCCACCCCCAGUCUCACCAUGUUCCCAUUAAUCUCCAGGGAUUCUAUUGCCCCUUUCUGUUAGUAUUAAAAGGAGGCAAGGAAAUUCUAUUAUACUUUUUAGUGAUAGAUUCUGUGUAAUGAAAUGGGCAGGGACUAUGCAGGAGGUUAUGGAGCCAACGUAUUGAAGGACCUCAGAUAGGCAGGAUAAGGCCUUUUCUACACUUGCAAGUUUUGUUGCCAAAAAAACACUUUUCUGGCAACAAAAUCCAGAGAGCGCCCAUACUGUGAUGCAACAAAAGUCGCACCACACAAAAAACUUUUUGGUGACAAAAAACUUGCAUCUCCUCACGAGACUUUUGUCUCAUGCCCUCCCUUCACCAUCAGCAAUCAUGAUGCGUGUAUGACAGUAGGUUUUCUGUCAAAUUUAUUGACCUCCAGCAUGUUUCCCCACAAUGUCUGAUUAGACACUCUGGCCAGCACUUUAAACUCUGUUGAUCUGCAGCCAUAUACACAGAUAGAAUCUUCUACUUGCAAUCCCCAGGAACUUUAAAAAUCCAUUUUCUAGUGUCUGGCUCAUUGUAUAGUUGUCCUCAUGGCAUCUUCUCAGGGCACUGGGGUGGGGGAUGGCUAUCAUUCAAAACACUCUCCUGCUUUGGAAAAAAAAAAACUUUAAAAACAACAAAUAGACUAGUAGCACCUUAAAGACUAACAAAACAUGUAGAUAGCACAACCUGCUUUUGUGGGCACAACCCACUUCUUCAGAUGACAAGAGUAUUAGAAGCCCAGAUCAGAGCUUUUGAAUCUAUCAGUGUGCAGAGUGAAGAACUGAUGCAACUACAGCUGUGAGUGACCCAUCAGAACUGGGACACAUGGCCACAUUUCUCGAGCCCUCUGA